UAAGCUCCUUUAGACACAGUUUCCGCGGUCAUAAUCAUGAAGACAAUAAUGGCUAAAAAACUUAGAAAACCUUUAAAGAAAAAGUUUCAAUAAAACGUUUAUCAGCAAUUAAAGUUAUACAAACCUGCAACAAAUGCUAAAUCUUCUGGAGUUUCACUGUCUUUAUGCAACAAUCUCCGAAACCUUUCAAUUCGCAGUGUUCUAAGCCAUCUUCGAGGAGAAAAGUUCUGUAGAAUCGCCAUCACUAAUGCAACUAUGUAAAAUGGAUGAAAUGACCAAGGGAUGAAGUGACCAGGGAUGAAAUGA
rnacentral:sRNA from 1 species